AAAUAGAAUCCCAUUAGGCCAUUACAAGGCAUCUGUUACCACAGACGGCAUUUAUACAAGUGUACAACUUUACUAUAGUACCAAAUCGCGGCGGUUUAAAGUUUAAAUGUUUGAUUCAAAUCGGUACGCAGAUGUUUUGAUGGACACAUUAUGGAGCCACUGGUAUAUUUGCGGUAUGAGUUAAAUAUUUUUUAAUCCAUCGUCGUCUGAAUCUCUGCAUAUAUCAUCGCUUAUACACUUGUUUAGAUUAGAUUUCGGUCUGAUAAUGGUCGACUAACCAAUACAUUAUACGACGCUCGAGAUAGUAUUCUCGACUGCCUGAAACGCUGUCCAAUCGUAAAAUCUCCUA